GCGCUCUUAGCUCAACUGGAUUAGAGUACCAGAUUUCGACUCUGGGGGUUAGGGGUUCGAGUCCUCUAGAGCGCACCA
rnacentral:tRNA from 3 species